rnacentral:lncRNA from 1 species
UAUAUCACAUAUAUACUCGGUUAUAUUUGGUAUGUGCAAAUUUAUUUGCUUCUUAAAAUUUGUUCCACGUAAAGUUAUGUCUAUAAGAUGUGGAUCUAAUGGAAAAGAUAAUUUUAUAGUCCGUAUAUGUAAUUUGGCCACAUAAUUUGACUGCUCUUUAUAAAAACAAAUAACCACAUACACAGUCCUUUAUAUAGGGGUUCUCAUUCCCUUUAGGCUCACGUACUGUGAUACUCC